AUAAAAUAAAGUUGCAAUGCUCUAUGUUUCAAAAGGAAACACGUAUAAGCAUGUGAUGUUUUGUGAUUAUAUUGUUUGAAUGAAGAUAAUAAAUUAUUUCAUCUUCUUAAUAACAAUUUUGCGUCAUUUGUCGAUGUCACGUAUGUGGCAAUCCGUUAGAAACUUCAUUGUGGACGUAAUGGUUAUAUGAGAAAGUAUUUAUUAUAAGCUUUUGAAAUAUAUGUAGAUCAAUUUUAAAAACUGUUUAAUAGCUAGCUCAGGUAAUUGUUGUGAAGGCGUGUCUUUAACAUCUUUCAUUUCUUUCAUAGCUCAGGUAAGAAGUGCACACUAUUUCAUUUCUUUCAUAGGCGUGAACCUCCUUCGAUAAAUAUAAUACAUAUCUUUGUGUGUGCGGUAAGAGUAAGUAGAGUGUAAUUGUUUAAAUUAUUUUCCUACUAUGAUGUUUGUUGAACCGUAGAUCCCUAAUCUAAACAACGAAGUUGGAUAGAAGUAGAAUAAUUAUUAUAACAGAAAUCUAAAACAAAGCUAAGCAAAAUAUUGUUUCUUAUUUGGAUCAG
rnacentral:lncRNA from 1 species